rnacentral:rRNA from 1 species
GUGGCAAACGGGUGAGUAACACGUAGGUGAUCUACCCUGGAUGGGGGAUAGCCCGUGGAAACACGGGGUAAUACCGCAUGAGGCCUUGUAAAGGAAGGGUGCGUCUGGGGAUGAGCCUGCGGCCCAUUAGGUAGUUGGUGAGGUAAAAGCCCACCAAGCCGACGAUGGGUAGCCGGCCUGAGAGGGUGUACGGCCACACUGUAACUGAGACACGGUCCAGACUCCUACGGGAGGCAGCAGCGAAGAAUCUUCCGCAAUGGGGGAAACCCUGACGGAGCGACGCCGCGUGGGCGAUGAAGGUCGUAAGAUUGUAAAGCCCUUUUAUCGGUGAAGAAUGACGUUAGCCGAUGAAGAAGCCCCGGCCAAUUACGUGCCAGCAGCCGCGGUAAUACGUAUGGGGCAAGCGUUGUUCGGAGUUAUUGGGCGUAAAGGGCGUGUAGGCGGCUCAUCAAGUCUGGUGUGAAAGAGCUGGGCUUAACCCAGCGUAUGCGCUGGAA